rnacentral:rRNA from 1 species
GACGAACGCUGGCGGCGUGCUUAACUCAUGCAAGUCGAACGGAAAGGCCCUGCUUUUGUGGGGUGCUCGAGUGGCGAACGGGUGAGUAACACGUGAGUAACCUGCCCUUGACUUUGGGAUAACUUCAGGAAACUGGGGCUAAUACCGGAUAGGAGCUCCUGCUGCAUGGUGGGGGUUGGAAAGUUUCGGCGGUUGGGGAUGGACUCGCGGCGUAUCAGCUUGUUGGUGGGGUAGUGGCUUACCAAGGCUUUGACGGGUAGCCGGCCUGAGAGGGUGACCGGCCACAUUGGGACUGAGAUACGGCCCAGACUCCUACGGGAGGCAGCAGUGGGGAAUAGUGCACAAUGGGCGGAAGCCUGAUGCAGCAACGCCGCGUGCGGGAUGACGGCCUUCGGGUUGUAAACCGCUUUCGCCUGUGACGAAGCGUGAGUGACGGUAAUGGGUAAAGAAGCACCGGCUAACUACGUG